AUUGAACGCUGGCGGCAUGCUUUACACAUGCAAGUCGAACGGCAGCGCGGGCUUCGGCCUGGCGGCGAGUGGCGAACGGGUGAGUAAUACAUCGGAACGUGCCCGGUAGUGGGGGAUAGCUCGGCGAAAGCCGGAUUAAUACCGCAUACGACUUGAGGGUGAAAGCGGGGGAUCUUCGGACCUCGCGCUAUUGGAGCGGCCGAUGGCAGAUUAGCUAGUUGGUGGGGUAAAGGCCUACCAAGGCGACGAUCUGUAGCUGGUCUGAGAGGACGACCAGCCACACUGGGACUGAGACACGGCCCAGACUCCUACGGGAGGCAGCAGUGGGGAAUUUUGGACAAUGGGCGAAAGCCUGAUCCAGCAAUGCCGCGUGUGUGAUGAAGGCCUUCGGGUUGUAAAGCACUUUUGGCGGGAACGAAAAGGACUGUGCCAAUACCACGGUUCGAUGACGGUACCCGCAGAAUAAGCACCGGCUAACUACGUG
rnacentral:rRNA from 1 species